rnacentral:rRNA from 1 species
AUUGAACGCUGGCGGCAUGCCUUACACAUGCAAGUCGAACGGUAACAGGUUAAGCUGACGAGUGGCGAACGGGUGAGUAAUAUAUCGGAACGUGCCCAGUAGUGGGGGAUAGCCCGGCGAAAGCCGGAUUAAUACCGCAUACGACCUACGGGUGAAAGGGGGGGAUCGCAAGACCUCUCGCUAUUGGAGCGGCCGAUAUCAGAUUAGGUAGUUGGUGGGGUAAAGGCCUACCAAGCCUGCGAUCUGUAGUUGGUCUGAGAGGACGACCAGCCACACUGUGACCGAGACACGGCCCAGACUCCUACGGGAGGCAGCAGUGGGGAAUUUUGGACAAUGGGCGCAAGCCUGAUCCAGCAAUGACGCGUGCAGGAAGAAGGCCUUCGGGUUGUAAACUGCUUUUGUCAGGGAAGAAAUCCUCUGGGUUAAUACCUCGGGGGGAUGACGGUACCUGAAGAAUAAGCACCGGCUAACUACGUGCCAGCCGCCGCGGUAACAC